rnacentral:rRNA from 1 species
GACGAACGCUGGCGGCGUGCUUAACACAUGCAAGUCGAACGGAAAGGCCCUGCUUUUGUGGGGUGCUCGAGUGGCGAACGGGUGAGUAACACGUGAGUAACCUGCCCUUGACUUUGGGAUAACUUCAGGAAACUGGGGCUAAUACCGGAUAGGAGCUCCUGCUGCAUGGUGGGGGUUGGAAAGUUUCGGCGGUUGGGAUGGACUCGCGGCUUAUCAGCUUGUUGGUGGGGUAGUGGCUUACCAAGGCUUUGACGGGUAGCCGGCCUGAGAGGGGGACCGGCCACAUUGGGACUGAGAUACGGCCCAGACUCCUACGGGAGGCAGCAGUGGGGAAUAUUGCACAAUGGGCGGAAGCCUGAUGCAGCAACGCCGCGUGCGGGAUGACGGCCUUCGGGUUGUAAACCGCUUUCGCCUGUGACGAAGCGUGAGUGACGGUAAUGGGUAAAGAAGCACCGGCUAACUACGUG